ACGACUCUCGGCAACGGACAUCUCGGCUCUCGCAUCGAUGAAGAACGUAGCGAAAUGCGAUACCUGGUGUGAAUUGCAGAAUCCCGCGAACCAUCGAGUCUUUGAACGCAAGUUGCGCCCGAGGCCACUCGGCCGAGGGCACGCCUGCCUGGGCGUCACGC
rnacentral:rRNA from 1 species